GACGAACGCUGGCGGCGUGCUUAACACAUGCAAGUCGAACGGAAAGGCCCUGCUUUUGUGGGGUGCUCGAGUGGCGAACGGGUGAGUAACACGUGAGUAACCUGCCCUUGACUUUGGGAUAACUUCAGGAAACUGGGGCUAAUACCGGAUAGGAGCUCCUGCUGCAUGGUGGGGGUUGGAAAGUUUCGGCGGUUGGGGAUGGACUCGCGGCUUAUCAGCUGGUUGGUGGGGUAGUUGCUUACCAAGGCUUUGACGGGUAGCCGGCCUGAGAGGGUGACCGGCCACAUUGGGACUGAGAUACGGCCCAGACUCCUACGGGAGGCAGCAGUGGGGAAUAUGGCACAAUGGGCGGAAGCCUGAUGCAGCAACGCCGCGUGCGGGAUGACGGCCUUCGGGUUGUAAACCGCUUUCGCCUGUGACGAAGCGUGAGUGACGGUAAUGGGUAAAGAAGCACCGGCUAACUACGUG
rnacentral:rRNA from 1 species